AUUGAAGAGGAGGAAUGGUACAGAAUUCAGUGGCAUUUCAAGAGAUGGUUCUCUCCCUCCAGCUGAACAACAAGUUUGUAGCUUCAACAAAUGGGAAGAAAUGCCUUCCCCAGAAGCACUGUGUACAGCAGCUGGGCACCCCAGGCUAUGGCAAUUUAGACAAAGUUUCCCUACCCAAUUCACCUGCUCCUUUCUUGGAGGUUUCUUGCCAUGGCAUGGCACUGUGAGGAAAAGUAUAGAGAAAUAAAAUACUCAACCAA